GUCCAGACUCCUACGGGAGGCAGCAGUGGGGGAUAUUGCACAAUGGGGGAAACCCUGGUGCAGCGACGCCGCGUGAGUGAAGAAGUAUUUCGGUAUGUAAAGCUCUAUCAGCAGGGAAGAAAAUGACGGUACCUGACUAAGAAGCCCCGGCUAACUACGUGCCAGCAGCCGCGGUAAUACGUAGGGGGCAAGCGUUAUCCGGAUUUACUGGGUGUAAAGGGAGCGUAGACGGCAGUGCAAGUCCGGAGUGAAAGCCCGGGGCUCAACCCUGGGACUGCUCUGGAAACUGUAAAGCUGGAGUGCGGGAGGGGCAGGCGGAAUUCCUGGUGUAGCGGUGAAAUGCGUAGAUAUCAGGAGGAACACCGGCGGCGAAGGCGGCCUGCUGGACCGUAACUGACGUUGAGGCUCGAAAGCGUGGGGAGCAAACAGGAUUAGAUACCCGAGUA
rnacentral:rRNA from 1 species